UACGUAGGGGGCUAGCGUGGUCCGGAAUCAUUGGGCGUAAAGCGCGUGUAGGCGGUUCGGUAAGUCCGCUGUGAAAGUCGGGGGCUCAACCCUCGAAUGCCGGUGGAUACUGUCGGACUAGAGUACGGAAGAGGCGAGUGGAAUUCCUGGUGUAGCGGUGAAAUGCGCAGAUAUCAGGAGGAACACCAAUUGCGAAGGCAGCUCGCUGGGACGUUACUGACGCUGAGACGCGAAAGCGUGGGGAGCAAACAGG
rnacentral:rRNA from 1 species